rnacentral:tRNA from 1 species
GGACAGCGGUAAGCCCUUUGAAAUCGGUCUGAGUGCUCACCUGAACCGGUCUCGAAAACCGUUAUACCCGUUUCGGGUAUCGAGAGUUCGAAUCUCUCCCUCUCCG